rnacentral:rRNA from 1 species
CCUACGGGUGGCAGCAGUGAGGAAUAUUGGUCAAUGGACGAAAGUCUGAACCAGCCAUGUCGCGUGAAGGAUGACUGCCCUAUGAGUUGUAAACUGCUUUUGUAAGAGGGUAAACGGAGACACGUGUACCUGUUUGAAAGUACUUUAUGAAUAAGGAUCGGCUAACUCCGUGCCAGCAGCCGCGGUAAUACGGAGGAUCCGAGCGUUAUCAGGAUUUAUUGGGUUUAAAGGGAGCGUAGAUGGGUUGUUAAGUCAGUUGUGAAAGUUUGCGGCUCAACCGUAAAAUUGCAAUUGAUACUGGCAGUCUUGAGCACAGUUGAGGUAGGCGGAAUUCGUGGUGUAGCGGUGAAAUGCUUAGAUAUCACGAAGAACUCCGAUUGCGAAGGCAGCUUACUAAACUGCGACUGACAUUGAUGCUCGAAAGUGUGGGUAUCAAACAGGAUUAGAUACCCUGGUAGUC